AACGAACGCUGGCGGCAGGCUUAACACAUGCAAGUCGAAGGUGAAGCUGGACUUCGGUCCAGUGGAAACUGGCGCACGGGUGAGUAACGCGUGGGAAUCUACCUAGUGGUUCAGAAUAACCGCGGGAAACUGCGGCUAAUACUGAAUACGCCCUCCGGGGGAAAGAUUUAUCGCCAUUAGAUGAGCCCGCGUCGGAUUAGCUUGUUGGUGAGGUAACGGCUCACCAAGGCGACGAUCCGUAGCUGGUCUGAGAGGAUGAUCAGCCACACUGGGACUGAGACACGGCCCAGACUCCUACGGGAGGCAGCAGUGGGGAAUAUUGGACAAUGGGCGCAAGCCUGAUCCAGCCAUGCCGCGUGAGUGAUGAAGGCCUUAGGGUUGUAAAGCUCUUUCAGCGGGGAAGAUGAUGACGGUACCCGCAGAAGAAGCCCCGGCUAACUCCGUG
rnacentral:rRNA from 1 species